AUUUUGUUGAGCGAGUAAUCAUCAGUAAAACAGUAAGCACUGGCAACAACGGCUUCCAGAAGAUUCUCUGCAUUAUCUUCUUUCAGAUGCCAUCCAUCUGAUGGCUCACUAUUAAAUGUACAAUCUGCAGCAUAGAUGGAUUUGCUAGAUGGAUUUGCACUAAAGCCAGACAAGUUGUGAAUUGUACUUCCAAAGGCUUCGUAUAGUUCACGUUCUGUCGAGCAGCUAAAAGAAUUACUUACAUUUCCGAGAACAGUGUUGUGGCAAUCCAUUCCAAGAGAUCGUGGAUCUAGCAUGUCUCCAUCAAAGUGAAAAUCUACCUCAUUGGAAACACCGACUCCGCCGACAUUGCAGCUAGAGUAAGAAAAGGCAUCUAUAUCUUUUGUAUGGCAAGAAGAUCUAACGAUGCUUCUUUCGGUUAUCCCUGAUCUAUUAUCAUCAGAAUAUCCAUGAGCAAGUUGCUUCACUAGAUUAAUCAUGUCCACAUGUUGCAUUGGAAUUUCCCAUUUAUAUGCAUUUUCAAGAACAUUUGGCAUGUGUUCAACAAAUUUGCCAAUUUUGCUUCCAUUUUCAUUCUCGAGGACAUUUUGCAUGUGUUGUCCAGAUAACUGAAAGGGAUGUUGAACAUCAAUUAGUGAAGUCAUUGGAAAUACAGCUGAUGAUUUGUGAUCUUCCACAA
rnacentral:misc_RNA from 1 species